rnacentral:lncRNA from 1 species
GGGGCCUUAGCGGGACAGGGUCAGGGAUCCCUAGAAAUAUAAACGGACUCUGACAUCCUGGCCAGAGACCUUUUGCUUUGCCGCUCUGCACCUGCCCAGUACGAUGACCGUGGCUCUGCCCUGCGCGUGCGCACUGGCUCUGGGUUGCCUUGCGGCGCUCCUGGUGCCACCCAGUGGCGCCCUGGAGGACGAGGUCCACCUGCAGCCGAUUCCCGAGCCCAGGUCGGUCAGUUGGUUUUCAAGUUUCGGCCAGAUCAACAAGUACUUGGAGAAGCUCUUCAGCAACAGUUCGAAGAAAUUCAAAAACCUCAUGAAACCCUCCAACACCACCAAAUCUGCCCCAUCGAACACCACAGAACGUCCUUACUUGAAUGCCACGAACCCCCUACGGAAAAGCAUCAGCAAACCCCCAACACAGGAACCCCGCGGACGCCUGUCACUAGCCUCCUCCCCAGGCUCCAGCCUGAACAAUAGACAGCAAUAAUGGAACUGACAAGAUGGCUCAGUGGUAAGGGCACUUGCCACUAAGCCUGCCGGCCAGAGUUCCACCCCCAAUCUCAUAAGACAGAAGAAAGGACACAUGUACCGUGACUUGCGUGUGCACACAUGUAAUGCAAACACACAAUAACAAUAAAGGAAUGGAU